ensembl:lncRNA
CAGAGGGGGAUUGUAGGAACGGAGGAGAACUGACUUACAUGCACCAUUACAGAGAUAAAUCAGAGAGACUGUAGCAUCUAGAGCUGGCAAAGUCUUCAGGGAUCAUUUUAGCUAACUCCAUCAUUUAUAGUUCAGGAAACAGGCUUAAAGUGGGGGAGAAGCUGCUCCAAGGUCACAGAGCUACCAUGUGGGAAAGCCAGGACUCAGACCCUGACCCUCUGGCUGCCAGAGGGCUCCACCAGAUGUUAGGUUCUGUGGGAGGAAGAGGCCACGACAAGCCCAUCCUCCAUCCUGAUGUCAGCUUCUCUACUCCACAGGUGUCAAUGCUGAAGGCAGUGCCUCCCUGGCAUCACUUAGCCAUCCCUGUGCCAUCUCCUGGGCUCUCCAUCUGUCCCUGCACCCAAAAGCGCCUGGAAAUCCACGUCCAGAAGCUAGUCCACCGGCAAAAGUGGGGACCGCCUCAGAAGCUCCAGGAAUCCUGGGCCCAGUACCUGCUCUCCCAGUUAUCAGGACACACAGGCCUUGAGAAAUCCAGUGAGCCUGGUGUCUGUUCCCCACUCUUCCCAAGCUCCUGUAGGUGUCUGGAGGAGCACUACAAAGAGCUAUACAUCCUGGGGGGCUGGCAGUUUAUUCGGGGGUUCUGCAAUAUCCAGGCUCAUCUUCUCUGCAAGGUGCCCCUCCCCCGCCUCCUGGAGGGGCCGGGCUGGAUGGAGCAGACCCGGGAGAGAACAUCCGUCAUCUCCCCAGCACCUCUCCCAGUCUCAAAGGAAAUCCCCCUUACGGAUUCCCCACCAGCUCCAGAGGGGACACCUUGCCACUCUCUGCUGUCCAUUGAAAGGCCACGCACGCCUGUGGAUCAGCUCGUGGAAGUACCUGAAGCACAGGAUCUAGAUCCAGAGAGACAAGACCAGCGGCUGGCCAGGGAUGGAGGCACCCCGACAACCCAGGCCGUGGGAGUGGGGGAGGGCCUGGUUGCAGGUAAGGAUGUUUUAGAGGUUGAGGGGAGUCCCACCUACAAAGAUACCAGCUUCCCAUGGAGCCGAGCUUUGGAAGACGUUGACUCAGAAGCCUUAGAACUGGAGGCUGCUGAGGAGUCCCCUGCUACCACUCCUCGGACACAGCCACUGGCCCAAAUGUGGGAGAGUCUCCAGCCCCCUGAAAGGGAGGAAAGUCUUCAAGACUUCCAUAAGGACUUCUCUGGAAGGGGGCACAGGGCAGCAGGUGGCAUCAGUCUCACAGCAGGUCAGCAACAGCACCAGUGUGGCCAAGCUGGGGGCACUGCCCUGGAGCUCAGCCACCAUGCUACACCUUCCCCGGGGUGGAGUGAAGAAAGCUGGACUCUGAAUCCUCUCCCCCUUUUUGCUACACCCCCAGAAGAUAGUAACUGUCCCCCAACACCCUCAGAUAUUUAUUUCAAGGAGGUCACAUCAUCUCAUGUGGUGCCCCCAAAGCAGCCAGCCCUAAAGAAGAGCUCCCAGCUCCUUCUGGAACCCCUCAUGCGGCGCAAGGUCAUUCACCUGAAGUGGGGUCUCCCCCGAAGGAUCCAGGAGUCCGAGUGGUUGUUUCAGCUGAUGGGGCCCUCUUCACCUUCUAACGCUGGCGUGCAGAGCCCCAGCCCAGAAGAGAAGGAGACCAGUAAGGAAGAGUCAAAGAUGCAGGAAGGUGAGCCCACCCUGGGAGGGACGAUGACCCAAGGCGGCUGCGCAGCAGGGGGGAGCCCCGCCUGCCAGAACCCGAGCCUUCCCAAGGCUGCUGGUGGCACCCCUGACCCUGGCCUACAGCUACUGAUCCAAUUCAAGGAGAGACUCAAGUGCCGAGAGAAAGAAGCCCAGAAGCUGCCCAUGGCACCCCGAAAGAGGAAAGGGAAAGAUGACCCAGACCAUCCAGACAGGAGGGGCCUCUCCGUCAGCCUUGACGGAGCCAAGGGGCCCAAACAAGUCCCAAACCUCUGGGAGCUGCAAGAUCUCGGCGAUGAGGCUCUAUCUCAGGCCACACUGCCGGUCAUCACAGACUGUCCGCAGGGAGGUGCCACCCGGGAGCAGACGGGACCCAUCCCCAAAGACUCCCCGUCCGCUGUGGCCUGGGAGUGGAGGGGCAGUCAGGAGACUGCAGAGGAGACAUCUCCCAGAAGCAGGGGGAGCAGCUCAGAGCCAAGGCCAGGCCCUUCUAACGCAGCCCAGGGAGUCUUUGAGAAGUUAGGGAGCCCAGGUCCUACAGCCGGCAUGAAAGCUUGGCUGUAUGAUCCCCGCAAAAAGGAGACAAAGCCGAAGGUCUCCCAGGACAGCCAGGCACUGCCAUGGGCAACGGUGUGUCACUGGUCGAUGCCUUCAGCCUCUCAGUCGCAGAGCGUGAGCGAUUCUGGGGGGGACACCCCUCAGAGCCACAGCUCAGAAGUCCGCCUCUUGCCGGCAGAACAGAGAAAGAAGAUUUUUCGGUUUCAGGGAGGCGGGCUACCCGAGUCAGGGACCUCCUCGUGCUCCUCAGGCAGGACCAAAGGACCUUUUCGAACUGUAGCCAUGAGACUAGGCACAGCCCUCAUGAACAAGAUGCCCUGGUCCCCGAGGCAAGCCAGCUCGGCAACCUCUGUUUCCAACCACGACCAACACCGAGAGGAUCCUGACUUCCCGAGCGGGGCUGGGCUCCCUGGGAGAUCCUGGGACAGAGAAGAGGGCGAAGGGUCUGACCACCAAGGAUUCACCAGGGGCCAUGCUUCCCUGAACUUGGAAAGGGACUCUUCACCCCCAGAUCAAUCCUCCUGUGAUGAUGGCAUGGGGGAAUCAUCAGCACAGAGCCUUCCGAGUGAACAAGGACCUACCAGACCCAGCUGGGUGAAGCGACUCAGAGGUCUUCUAACCCGGCUCAACUUCAACAAAUAGGCCCUAGAUUCAGAUCUCAUGCCAGAGAACACCUGGUGUUCCCUGCUCUUGACAAAGCCUCUAGUAAAAGAUGCUUUUUCAGGCUUUUCUGACUUGUGGGUUUUUCCUCCAUUGAUCUUUUGGGGUUCAUAGACUCAGAACCAGAAGGGUCCUCAGAGGUCCUCUGGGCUAAGGCACUCAUUUUACAGACAGGUAAACUGAGACCCACUCCUCUUCCCUGAGAAGUCAAGCAACAGACUCGACGUCACAAAAAGGGUACAGAACUAGGCUUCGAAUCCAGGUCUCCCAAUUCCAAACCCAGUACUGCUUCUCUGCUGAGACCCUUUGUCGUAGAGAACUCUGUACUUAGCUGCAGGAGUGGUAGGUUAGGGGAGAUGAUUGAAAAGCUGGUGUUUGGAGGAGGGUGGGAGCCAGAGCUAGAAG